rnacentral:lncRNA from 1 species
CAACACUUGAAAAGUUUAAAAAUUGGAAACAAGUAUUAGCAAACAUCUUUAAUUUUGCAUAUUUGUAACCAAAAAAACAAGGUAUACAAAAUCCCCUGAAUUUGUACAUGAUGGUGUUUUUUUGACUUAUAAUCAACAAUUGCCUUACUAAGAGUGAUGUUCCUGAAUUGUUUCCUCAGUAAAGGUGUACCAUAGGCUGGGUGCGAUGGCUCAUGCCUGUAAUCCCAGCACUUUGAGAGGCCGAGGCAGGCGGAUCAUCUGAGGUCAGGAGUUCAAGACCAGCCUGGCUAACAUGGCAAAACCCCAUCUCUACUAAAAAUACAAAAAUUAGCCAUGUGUGGUGUUGGGCACCUGUAAUCCCCGCUACUCGGGAGGCUGAGGCAGGAGAAUUACUUGAACCUGGGAGGCAGAGGUUGCAGUGAGCUGAGAUUGUGCCACUGUACUCCAGCCUGAGAGACAGAGUGAGACUCCAUCUCAACAACAACCAAAAAAAGAUUAAAUAGGCUAAUUUAAAUAUAUCUGAACUUUGUGAAAAUGGUAACUCAUGGUCUUUUUGUUAUGAUAUACCUGUGGUUAAUUUUUCUAUCAUGCUGCAGUAAAAGCAAGAUGUAAAUACUGAGUAAUAUCACAAACAUGUUUGAAUCCUAAAAGAAUUUAUGUGACAUGAGCCAGUAACCACUGAAAAAACAGCACAGGUCAUAGGUGGUUCUUAGAAUCAGGAUAAUUUGGAAAAUACUACAGCAGUGGUUCCAUGAGCCAGCAGUGUCAGCAUCACCUGGGAACUUGUUAGAAAUGCAAAUUCUCGGCAGGGCGCGGUGGCUCUUGCCUGUAAUCCCAGCAAUUUGGGAGGCCGAGGUGGGUGGGUCACAAGGUCAGGAGUUCGAGACCAGCCUGGCCAAUAUGGUAAAACCCCGUCUCUACUAAAAAUCCAAAAAUUAGCUGAGCAUGGUGGCGGGCACCUGUAGUCCCAGCUACUCGGGAGGCUGAGGUUGCAGUGAGCCAAGAUCGCACCACUGCACUCCAGUCUGGGCAACAGAGCAAGACUCCGUCUAAAAAAAAAAAAAAAAGAAAUGUAAAUUCUCAGGCCCCACCACAAACCUGCUGAAACGAGGGGUUUGACUCAGCAAUCCUUUAACAAGCCCUCCGGUUGAUUCUGUCAUGUAUGCACCAAAGUUUGACGAUCAUUGUAGUACAGGUAGUUUCUCAUGGAAUCUGCUGGCAUUUUUGGGUAAACACUUUUAUAAAGACAGAUUAUUAGGUAUAAUAAAAGUAACUAUAUAUGUUUAAUAUAAUUCAUAAUAUGAAUGUGACUUUAGAAUUUAGAAAUAAAUGGUUCUUGUAUGGAACUUGUUAACAUUUGAGAACACAGCAUUCCACAGAAUACAGUUUGGGAAAUACUUCACUUGUAUAAUAUAUUUAUUGCCUUAGUCAAAAUUCUUUUUGUCCUCCGCCUCCCACUGCUUCACUUGACUAGCCUAAAAAAAUAAAAAAUAAAAUCCUUUUUGUUUACAUGUAACAGAAACCAGCACUGGCUGUCUAAAGGGGAAGAAAAAGAGUAAUUUACUGGAAGAAAUAGGGGCUAUUGUCUCACAGAAUCUCAAGAAGAUUUCAGCAAACAAGACUCAGGAAAAAAAGGGACAGCAGUAGCCAGAGGAGUUCUGUGAACUUACAGGAGCAGAUCUGUCUAAGCAACUUCUAAACCCUCUGGGUCAGAAUCGGGCUGGCUGGGCUGGGCGCAGUGGCUCCCCGCUGUAAUCCCAGCACUUUGGGAGGCAAAGGCGG